rnacentral:rRNA from 1 species
AAUGAACGUUGGCGGCGUGGAUUAGGCAUGCAAGUCGAGCGAGAAUCUUGUGAGUGAUCCUUCGGGUGAACGAUCAAGAGGACAGCGGCAAACGGCGUAGUAAUGCGUAGGUUACGUACCCCCCGGACCGGGAUAGCCAUGGGAAACUGUGGGUAAUACCGGAUAAUGUCUCCGGACCAAAUGGUGUGAUUCCGCCUGGGGAGCGGCUUACGUGAUAUUAGCUUGUUGGUGGGGUAAUGGCCUACCAAGGCUGUGAUGUCUAGGGGGUGUGAGAGCAUGGCCCCCACGACCGGGACUGAGACACUGCCCGGACAACUACGGUUGGCUGCAGUCGAGAAUCUUCCGCAAUGGGCGCAAGCCCGACGGAGCGACGCCGCGUGCGGGACGAAGGCCCUUGGGUUGUAAACCGCUGUCAGAGGGGAUGAAAUGCAGGUGGGCUAUCCCUCCUGUUUGACAGAGCCUCAGAGGAAGCACGGGCUAAGUACG